rnacentral:lncRNA from 1 species
AGAAUUUUCAGAGAAUCUGGAACGUUUCAGGGCUAGAAUUAGUUACUUACCUCAUAGUGGCUACUUCUAAUGCUAAACCUGAAACCCACAGAAGACCCAAUCCACAACUGCCUAAUUAGAGCAAGCCUUUCAGGACGCUGGACACUGGUCAGGUUCAGACCUGGGCUUCCCAGAGAGCAGUGCUGAAUUAAGUUAGUCUGGCACUCAGGAAGGCAGAACCCACAAGGCUACGUCCUUCCCGCCUUCACCCAGUGGUAGGAAGCAUACAGCCGAUGGACUUCUUGUCUUCCUAUCUCCCGCUUGUUAUAAACCAGGUGCUCCAUCAGCCUGCCUUCCAGAAACUUAUUGGUGCCAGCAACUUGUGUCAUCACUUGCCACCGACAGCAGCACCUGCUUCUGUCUCUCUGAUAUCAUCCGCCAUGAAGUCCUCACCUGAACUGAGCUGAUGUUGGUGGCGUGCCUUCGAACCCCUAAACUGUCAGCUAAGUAAGCUCUAAGUUAACCUAUCUGCUUCAUAAUGCCCUCAGCCCUGGGUACUUCAGUUACAGCCAUGGGAAAUAAACCGGCAGGAGAUACAGGUACACUGGAAGGGCACACUCCCAUCCCCUGAUCUCCCACAGACCUCUCUGGUUUCCACCCUUCCAACAACAAUAUUGAAGCACAGAGACAGUGAGUGCCAGAAGACUGAAUUAAGACCCUUAGCUUCGGGUUUUUAAUGAGGUUGGCUGUCUAAAAGGCAGAGGUGUGAUGGAUUUAGGAAACGUCGGGACUCACAUGACAAAGAGUUUAUAGCCAUAAUAUAUAAAGGCCUGCCACAUUAAAUAACAAAG